rnacentral:rRNA from 1 species
UACAGAGGGUGCGAGCGUUAAUCGGAAUUACUGGGCGUAAAGGGCGCGUAGGCGGCCUUCUAAGUCGAACGUGAAAUCCCCGGGCUCAACCCGGGAACUGCGUCCGAUACUGGGAGGCUUGAAUCCGGGAGAGGGAUGUGGAAUUCCAGGUGUAGCGGUGAAAUGCGUAGAUAUCUGGAGGAACACCGGUGGCGAAGGCGGCAUCCUGGACCGGUAUUGACGCUGAGGCGCGAAAGCCAGGGGAGCAAACGGG